CUCGGUGUUCCUCUGAGACGACGACUUCCCCCUGGAGCCAAGUCGCCCUCUCGCGGACUCGCCAAAACCUAACCGUUGGCUGCUGGCGGGCGGCGGGCGGCCGACGGGCGAGGGAGCGAGGGGCAUGACCACGCAACCGGCGAGGAGGCGUGGCGGCCAACCGCUCGGGCACACGGCGGGCAUCGGCGUCUUGAGCGUAUGGCGCGAGCGCUGUAGGUGCUGCGCGGUUUCCCGGCCGCUCGGGCACGCUGCGCGGCGGCCAGCGGCAAACGCCACCAUGCACUGUGGCAGACAGCAGUUCAGCACGCAAGACAUGCGGGCGGAUGGCAGAGGCGGCAAGUCAGCAAGCAAACAGGUCAAUUUGAUUCCACCUUCCCCAAUCGGCUCAUCUUGCACUACAUAUUCAUUUUUUCUGUCAAAAUUGGAGAAAUUGACUUAUGAGAUUAUUUAAGCCCCAUUAUGUAGACUAGAUCUGCAUGCCUCCACUGCCUUCACAUGGUGCAGGCUCAGGUUAACUUCCUACAGAUGAUGAUGAUAUAAUAGAUUGAUAGGCGGGAAUGAACAGACUUGGCACUUGUUAGGUAUUUUUUUUUUAGUUUUUCAAGUUUUCAUUGAGUUUGUUGUACAAUUAGACUUGGAAAAUUGGAGAUAUAAUCUAAAAGUCUGGGGUGAUUUUCUGCUAAA